rnacentral:rRNA from 1 species
AUACAUGCAAGUUGAACGCUUGAUUUUCACCGAAGCUUGCUUCACCGAAAAUCAAGAGUAGCGAACGGGUGAGUAACGCGUGGGUAACCUACCUUUCAGCGGGGGAUAACUAUUGGAAACGAUAGCUAAUACCGCAUAACAAUGUUGGAUGCAUAUUCGACAUUUGAAAGUACCAACUGGUACACUGAGAGAUGGACCCGCGUUGUAUUAGCUAGUUGGUAGUGUAAUGGACUACCAAGGCGAUGAUACAUAGCCGACCUGAGAGGGUGAUCGGCCACAUUGGGACUGAGACACGGCCCAAACUCCUACGGGAGGCAGCAGUAGGGAAUCUUCGGCAAUGGACGAAAGUCUGACCGAGCAACGCCGCGUGAGUGAAGAAGGUUUUCGGAUCGUAAAACUCUGUUGUUAGAGAAGAACGUUGCAUAGAGUGGAAAAUUAUGCAAGUGACGGUAUCUAACCAGAAAGGGACGGCUAACUACGUGCCAGCAGCCGCGGUAAUACGUAGGUCCCGAGCGUUGUCCGGAUUUAUUGGGCGUAAAGCGAGCGCAGGUGGUUUAAUAAGUCUGAUGUAAAAGGCAGUGGCUCAACCAUUGUGUGCAUUGGAAACUGUUAGACUUGAGUGCAGUAGAGGAGAGUGGAAUUCCAUGUGUAGCGGUGAAAUGCGUAGAUAUAUGGAGGAACACCGGUGGCGAAAGCGGCUCUCUGGACUGUCACUGACACUGAGGCU